ACGGCAUCUACCUGCUUUCAGUUUUGGUCCUAGAAAUAUGUCUGUGUCAGCCAUCACUAGUUUCAAGAUGAGAACUUACAUAAAUUUCUUGGACCUGCUUCAAAAAGGCUUUUGUGAGGCCGAUACACCAGCCAACCAAACAUGCCUGGACCCCCAGCAGUGAACACAGUGGAAACACUUGCCCCAGGCAUCUGCAUAGCUCAUUUCGUCACCUCCUUCAAGUUUAGCUCAAAAAACCACCUUGUCGGGGAAGCCUUUUCUGACCACCCAUUCAAGAGUGUUAACCCCCACUCCUACCCCAAGAUUCUUAUUGCUCUUCUCUGUCUUAGUUCACUCUGUGGCACUUACUACUUCCAAACAUACUAUAGAAUGUAUUGAUUUUGUGUAUUAUUGUCUUCUUCCACCAAAAUAUAAAUUCC
rnacentral:lncRNA from 1 species